CGGGAGUGAGAAGGGAGAGCAGGAGCAGGAUUUGAUGAAUCCCCACGAGGCUCGAGGCACAGUAGUUAGGAAUCGGGAAAUACAGAACGAGCGAGUCACCCAUUCCCUGCCCACAAGGAUCGUCCCAACUAAGGCCCGGGCAGCUUAAGCUCGCCAAGUCCCUUUCGGGCUGGGGCCGAGCACAGCUGGCACUGGCUGGGUGUUCUCUGUGACAUCGAGAUCCCGUUUAGGGAGUCACAACCGGACACCGGACCCCAGGUGGGCUGGGAGGGAGAGGGAGGGGAGAAUUUUGGCCUUAAGCAAGUAGACUCUGACUCAAAGCAAAUCCGUAAAUUCUGCCGAACAUCGAGCGGAAGAACAAGAAUUACCCAUCUGCUGAGAGGCGUGCAUCUGAAUGGCCACCCAAAAGACGGUCCAUUUUGGAGAGGAGAUUUCUCCUCCACCGAGUAAAGGACAGAUCAAGAAGGUCAAUCUCAA